rnacentral:rRNA from 1 species
AGCGAACGCUGGCGGCGUGCUUAACACAUGCAAGUCGAACGGUGACCUCGAGAGCUUGCUCUUGGGUGAUCAGUGGCGAACGGGUGAGUAACACGUGAGUAACCUGCCCCUGACUCUGGAAUAACCCCGGGAAACCGGGGCUAAUACCGGAUAUGAAACGGAUCCGCAUGGGUUUGUUUGGAGAGUUUUUCGGUUGGGGAUGGACUCGCGGCCUAUCAGCUUGUUGGUGAGGUAAUGGCUCACCAAGGCGACGACGGGUAGCCGGCCUGAGAGGGCGACCGGCCACACUGGGACUGAGACACGGCCCAGACUCCUACGGGAGGCAGCAGUGGGGGAUAUUGCACAAUGGGCGAAAGCCUGAUGCAGCGACGCCGCGUGAGGGAUGACGGCCUUCGGGUUGUAAACCUCUUUCAGCAGGGAAGAAAUUGACGGUACCUGCAGAAGAGGCCCCGGCCAACUACGUGCCAGCAGCCGCAGUAACAC